GGGGAUGAACGGCUUCGACGGGGAAGGAAGGCCACGGAUGGCGAGCCGGGGGGCUUCGGCCCCGUUAACAACCGAGCGCUAACCCAAAAGUGCCAACAAUUGGGCUGCGAUUCCCGUCGCCGCCUAGUGCGGUAAGGGAGAAAGGAUCCCCCUGAACGGGAUCCCGUCCGCCCCGGCCUCGCGCUGGCGGGUCGGGGGCCGGGCGUCACAGAGCCAGCGUGCGGCGACCGGACGCCGAUAGGGUCGCUUAAGUCCUGAUCGGCUUUGCCCAGGUGUAGCGCGGUCGGCGGCGACUCCCUGGGCGAGAUGGCAACAGCCGACUACGCUCGUAGAAGUCCGUGGCCGAAUUCUCCGGACGCGGGUUCGAUUCCCGCCAUCUCCACCU
rnacentral:tmRNA from 1 species